UACGGGAGGCAGCAGUGAGGAAUUUUGCGCAAUGGGGGAAACCCUGACGCAGCAACGCCGCGUGAGUGAAGAAGGCCCUUGGGUCGUAAAGCUCUGUCGACAGGGAAGAAAUUACCAUUGUUUAAUAGAUGGUGGUAUUGACGGUACCUGUAGAGGAAGCACCGGCUAACUCCGUGCCAGCAGCCGCGGUAA
rnacentral:rRNA from 1 species